rnacentral:rRNA from 1 species
GACGAACGCUGGCGGCGUGCUUAACACAUGCAAGUCGAACGGAAAGGCCCUGCUUUUGUGGGGUGCUCGAGUGGCGAACGGGUGAGUAACACGUGAGUAACCUGCCCUUGACUUUGGGAUAACUUCAGGAAACUGGGGCUAAUACCGGAUAGGAGCUCCUGCUGCAUGGUGGGGGUUGGAAAGUUUCGGCGGUUGGGGAUGGACUCGCGGCUUAUCAGCUUGUUGGUGGGGUAGCGGCUUACCAAGGCUUUGACGGGUAGCCGGCCUGAGAGGGUGACCGGCCACAUUGGGACUGAGAUACGGCCCAGACUCCUACGGGAGGCAGCAGUGGGGAAUAUUGCACAAUGGGCGAAAGCCUGAUGCAGCAACGCCGCGUGCGGGAUGACGGCCUUCGGGUUGUAAACCGCUUUCGGCUGGGACGAAGCGUGAGUGACGGUAAUGGGUAAAGAAGCACCGGCUAACUACGUG